rnacentral:tRNA from 2 species
GUCCCAUUGGCCUAAUGGUAAGGCGUCGGCCUCCGAAGCCGGAGAUUGCGGGUUCAAAUCCCGUGUGGGACU